rnacentral:lncRNA from 1 species
CUGGGCGCCAGCGUGGCCGUGCAAUUGGUCUCCGUCUUCGUUCAAGGCACUCUCUCUGUAGCCAUCUUCCCAGUCUGCCGCUUCUUCUUUGAAGCGUCCAAAACGAAGAAUCGGCUCUCGCUUGCGCUCUCUUUUAACAGCGGAGGGAGGCCGAGGACACCGCAGACCGAGUGCGUUUCGUCCUUCCUGGUCUCUCCAAAAAACUGCCUUCGAAUCUCAAUCCCGCGAGAGGCCAGAAACGAGGGCGCUGUCUCACCCAAGACUCCAUGCUUGCCUUCCCCUCCACAUUUGACUCGCGUUCCGCUCAAUCUUUCCGCCCGUUUUGUCCAUCUCCCCCGACGUAUGUGCUGUCCCGUCUGUAGCUGCGUUGUGCCUUCCGCGGCUCUGCCUCGCCAGAACACGAAUCUUUGCGAAGCGCAGGUCUCUGUGCCAAGUUCGCAUACCCUUCUGCAGAGGCAUGAGCAGACGUGAGAAAAUGUAGCUUCAAGUAGCGCGUUUCGGAUGCGAGGCGGACUCGGGUGAUUUCGGGGGGGGAGAACUGGGGAGCUUUUUGGGGUGUCUAUGUGGAUGUUGCGAACGAGGUUUUCCUUCCUCACCGAAGGCCGACAGAGAUGACACAAACUCGAGAAAGGUAGCAUUGUCGCCGCGCGUUUUCGAUCCGGGAGAGCCGGUCCCUCUUGCAAGUUUUCUCUACACGUCUCGGACGCUUACAAAUGCACAAGAGGCUGUGCUGAAGGAAAAACGCUGCAGAGACACUUACGCUGCCUUCGAGUCCAGAGGCCGCUGCAACUGGAAACCGUAAAUUUAAGGGGAAUCCGCGCCCAGAGCCUGCCUAGUUACAAGAUGCGCCUCAAUCCAGGAGGCAAUAAUGCCGCCGACUCGAGAAACAGAGAAGAGACGCCGGUGUGCUGGAACUCCCUCUUUCCUGUCGUGAGAAAGGCUCUCGAGUGUGGAGUCUGAGUCGAAUGUACCUGCCUCAUUUCUUCCUUCCGGGGUACAAAAAAGCACUUCCUCGAAAACCGGAAAUCUCCGCGCCAUCUCUGCAUGCGUGCGCAGUUCGUUGACCGGAAGCGCGUUUCACCAGGCUGCUCGUGCCGAGUUUCGCUUCUUUUUCCCUGCCGAUUGACCCAAAAAACCCUGCCGUGUUCUGGUGCGUUUUCCGUGGGACGCCAGCUUCAGUUGCCUUCCCCCACAUCUGCUCCGCGACAGGCCGCAUCUACGUGAUCCGCAUGCUUGUGCGAGUAGGGUUGGGCCGCGCCUCUACGACUCGGUGCCGCCCACGCGUUUUCCUCCGUCGAGACCGCUUUUCUCUGCGUGGAGAACCCUCCCGUAUGUAUUCCGAGCUUUUCGCUCUCUCUGGGCAACACCACUCGAAAAUGCAGCCGAACAACCUAAAACUCCGUUCACCGUGUAGACCUGUGGGCUAGAGGCAGGGAGACAGCGAGACGCUACGGCUCUCCUGGGUCCGUUCGCUCUGCUCAGCCUCGAAUGUUUCUCCCCUUCCCACGGUUUCCGAGACACGCCACUUUGUGGGCAACCCGUGCGUAACAGAUCGGCCACACUGCGGCCGAGCUAUCGGCUGUGUUAUCAGCGCCGGGGCUGGUCUCUCAAAG